rnacentral:rRNA from 1 species
CCUACGGGAGGCAGCAGUGGGGAAUAUUGCACAAUGGGGGAAACCCUGAUGCAGCGACGCCGCGUGAGUGAAGAAGUAAUUCGUUACGUAAAGCUCUAUCAGCAGGGAAGAAACACUGACCUUACGGUCAGCAGACGGUACCUGAGUAAGAAGCCCCGGCUAAUUACGUGCCAGCAGCCGCGGUAAUACGUAGGGGGCAAGCGUUAGCCGGAUUUACUGGGUGUUAAGGGGGCGGAGGCGGUGCGCCAAGUCUGGAGUGAAAUGCCGCGGCUUAACUGCGGAACUGCUUUGGAAACUGGGGAACUAGAGUGCGGGAGGGGUAAGCGGAAUGCCUGGUGUAGCGGUGAAAUGCGUAGAUAUUAGGAAGAACACCGGUGGCGAAGGCGGCUUACUGGAGCGUAACUGACGUUGAGGCUCGAAAGCGUGGGGAGCGAACAGGAUUAGAUACCCCAGUAGUC